GUGCUUACACAUGCAAGUCGAACGGACCUUCGGGUUAGUGGCGGACGGGUGAGUAACGCGUGAGAAUCUGCCCUCAGGAGGGGGAUAACAGCUGGAAACGGCUGCUAAUACCCCAUAUGCCGCGAGGUGAAAUGAAUUUCGCCUGAGGAUGAGCUCGCGUCUGAUUAGCUAGUUGGUGUAGGUAAUGGCUCACCAAGGCAUCGAUCAGUAGCUGGUCUGAGAGGAUGAUCAGCCACACUGGGACUGAGACACGGCCCAGACUCCUACGGGAGGCAGCAGUGGGGAAUUUUCCGCAAUGGGCGAAAGCCUGACGGAGCAACGCCGCGUGAGGGAUGAAGGCCUCUGGGCUGUAAACCUCUUUUAUCAAGGAAGAAGAUCUGACGGUACUUGAUGAAUAAGCCACGG
rnacentral:rRNA from 1 species